CCCUUAGAUGUCCUGGGCCGCACGCGCGCUACACUGAUGCAUGCAACGAGUUUAUAACCUUGGCCUGAAAGGUCUGGGUAAUCUUUUGAACGUGCAUCGUGAUAGGGAUAGAUUAUUGCAAUUGUUAAUCUUGAACGAGGAAUUCCUAGUAAACGCGAGUCAUCAGCUCGCAUUGAUUACGUCCCUGCCCUUUGUACACACCGCCCGUCGCACCUACCGAUUGAAUGGUUCGGUGAAGAUCUCGGACUUCGAUAUUUAUUCUUCAUUGAACUUAUAUAGUGGGAAGUUAUCUGAACCUCAUCAUUUAGAGGAAGGUGAAGUCGUAACA
rnacentral:rRNA from 1 species